CCUACGGGUGGCAGCAGUGGGGGAUAUUGCACAAUGGGGGAAACCCUGAUGCAGCGACGCCGCGUGGGUGAAGAAGCGCCUCGGCGCGUAAAGCCCUGUCAGCAGGGAAGAAACUGACGGUACCUGAAGAAGAAGCCCCCGCUAAAUACGUGCCAGCAGCCGCGGUAAUAAGGCGGGGGCAGGCGUUAUCCGGCUGUACUGGGGGUAAAGGGGGGGGAGGCGGCGAUGCAAGCCAGGAGGGAAAGCCCGGGGCCCAACCCCGGGACUGCUCUUGGAAAUGCGUGGCUUGAGUGCAGGAGGGGCAGGCGGAAUUCCUGGUGUAGCGGUGAAAUGCGUAGAUAUCAGGAGGAACACCGGUGGCGAAGGCGGCCUGCUGGACUGCAACUGACGUUGAGGUCCGAAAGCGUGGGGAGCAAACAGGAUUAGAUACCCUUGUAGUC
rnacentral:rRNA from 1 species